AGGUUUUACUUUCAAAAUAAUUAUAUAGUCAGUUUUAAAGGAGUAGAAACAGAUAAAGAGAUAUGCAUAGGAUCAUGAUAAUGGACUGAAGCAUCAUUUUUCAUGACUUUCCAGUCAGUGGAGAUCUUGCACUCAGCUACAGCCAGUGAAAACUGCAAAUUACUUGUAUUAACAAUGUGCAGUUCCUGUUUAGCUUUGAAUCUAGAAAUACUAAUGAUAAGAACUCAGUGCAACAAAGAACAGAUUCAGAAAUGGCCUUUGUGAUGCAUGGAACUGUUCGUCUGGCAAAGAAGUGGAAGAGGGGACAUCCAGACAAGACCCCAAACACUGGACUCUAGUAAAGACUGCAAACAAAGCAGCCCUGUGAAAACAGUUGAAGAUAUUCACUGACAGCUUAACAUCAUAACUGAUAUGAGAUUGACUUGAUGUCUGUCAUCUCCAAUGCUGACAAGGGAAAGCUGGAUUCUCAGUGCCUGUGGAGUUGCUCUUGUUGGUGUCAUCAUGCAGAAGUCUUCUUUUAAGGUUGUCUGCCAUAUCCAG